rnacentral:rRNA from 1 species
UAAGGUGAUAUGAACCGUUAUAACCGGCGAUUUCCGAAUGGGGAAACCCAGUGUGUUUCGACACACUAUCAUUAACUGAAUCCAUAGGUUAAUGAGGCGAACCGGGGGAACUGAAACAUCUAAGUACCCCGAGGAAAAGAAAUCAACCGAGAUUCCCCCAGUAGCGGCGAGCGAACGGGGAGCAGCCCAGAGCCUGAAUCAGUGUGUGUGUUAGUGGAAGCGUCUGGAAAGGCGCGCGAUACAGGGUGACAGCCCCGUACACAAAAAUGCACAUAUUGUGAGCUCGAUGAGUAGGGCGGGACACGUGGUAUCCUGUCUGAAUAUGGGGGGACCAUCCUCCAAGGCUAAAUACUCCUGACUGACCGAUAGUGAACCAGUACCGUGAGGGAAAGGCGAAAAGAACCCCGGCGAGGGGAGUGAAAAAGAACCUGAAACCGUGUACGUACAAGCAGUGGGAGCCUCUUUAUGGGGUGACUGCGUACCUUUUGUAUAAUGGGUCAGCGACUUAUAUUCUGUAGCAAGGUUAACCGAAUAGGGGAGCCGAAGGGAAACCGAGUCUUAACUGGGCGUUAAGUUGCAGGGUAUAGACCCGAAACCCGGUGAUCUAGCCAUGGGCAGGUUGAAGGUUGGGUAACACUAACUGGAGGACCGAACCGACUAAUGUUGAAAAAUUAGCGGAUGACUUGUGGCUGGGGGUGAAAGGCCAAUCAAACCGGGAGAUAGCUGGUUCUCCCCGAAAGCUAUUUAGGUAGCGCCUCGUGAAUUCAUCUCCGGGGGUAGAGCACUGUUUCGGCAAGGGGGUCAUCCCGACUUACCAACCCGAUGCAAACUGCGAAUACCGGAGAAUGUUAUCACGGGAGACACACGGCGGGUGCUAACGUCCGUCGUGAAGAGGGAAACAACCCAGACCGCCAGCUAAGGUCCCAAAGUCAUGGUUAAGUGGGAAACGAUGUGGGAAGGCCCAGACAGCCAGGAUGUUGGCUUAGAAGCAGCCAUCAUUUAAAGAAAGCGUAAUAGCUCACUGGUCGAGUCGGCCUGCGCGGAAGAUGUAACGGGGCUAAACCAUGCACCGAAGCUGCGGCAGCGACACUAUGUGUUGUUGGGUAGGGGAGCGUUCUGUAAGCCUGUGAAGGUGUGCUGUGAGGCAUGCUGGAGGUAUCAGAAGUGCGAAUGCUGACAUAAGUAACGAUAAAGCGGGUGAAAAGCCCGCUCGCCGGAAGACCAAGGGUUCCUGUCCAACGUUAAUCGGGGCAGGGUGAGUCGACCCCUAAGGCGAGGCCGAAAGGCGUAGUCGAUGGGAAACAGGUUAAUAUUCCUGUACUUGGUGUUACUGCGAAGGGGGGACGGAGAAGGCUAUGUUGGCCGGGCGACGGUUGUCCCGGUUUAAGCGUGUAGGCUGGUUUUCCAGGCAAAUCCGGAAAAUCAAGGCUGAGGCGUGAUGACGAGGCACUACGGUGCUGAAGCAACAAAUGCCCUGCUUCCAGGAAAAGCCUCUAAGCAUCAGGUAACAUCAAAUCGUACCCCAAACCGACACAGGUGGUCAGGUAGAGAAUACCAAGGCGCUUGAGAGAACUCGGGUGAAGGAACUAGGCAAAAUGGUGCCGUAACUUCGGGAGAAGGCACGCUGAUGGUAGGUGAAGCGACUUGCUCGUGGAGCUGAAAUCAGUCGAAGAUACCAGCUGGCUGCAACUGUUUAUUAAAAACACAGCACUGUGCAAACACGAAAGUGGACGUAUACGGUGUGACGCCUGCCCGGUGCCGGAAGGUUAAUUGAUGGGGUUAGCGCAAGCGAAGCUCUUGAUCGAAGCCCCGGUAAACGGCGGCCGUAACUAUAACGGUCCUAAGGUAGCGAAAUUCCUUGUCGGGUAAGUUCCGACCUGCACGAAUGGCGUAAUGAUGGCCAGGCUGUCUCCACCCGAGACUCAGUGAAAUUGAACUCGCUGUGAAGAUGCAGUGUACCCGCGGCAAGACGGAAAGACCCCGUGAACCUUUACUAUAGCUUGACACUGAACAUUGAGCCUUGAUGUGUAGGAUAGGUGGGAGGCUUUGAAGUGUGGACGCCAGUCUGCAUGGAGCCGACCUUGAAAUACCACCCUUUAAUGUUUGAUGUUCUAACGUAGACCCGUGAUCCGGGUUGCGGACAGUGUCUGGUGGGUAGUUUGACUGGGGCGGUCUCCUCCUAAAGAGUAACGGAGGAGCACGAAGGUUGGCUAAUCCUGGUCGGACAUCAGGAGGUUAGUGCAAUGGCAUAAGCCAGCUUGACUGCGAGCGUGACGGCGCGAGCAGGUGCGAAAGCAGGUCAUAGUGAUCCGGUGGUUCUGAAUGGAAGGGCCAUCGCUCAACGGAUAAAAGGUACUCCGGGGAUAACAGGCUGAUACCGCCCAAGAGUUCAUAUCGACGGCGGUGUUUGGCACCUCGAUGUCGGCUCAUCACAUCCUGGGGCUGAAGUAGGUCCCAAGGGUAUGGCUGUUCGCCAUUUAAAGUGGUACGCGAGCUGGGUUUAGAACGUCGUGAGACAGUUCGGUCCCUAUCUGCCGUGGGCGCUGGAGAACUGAGGGGGGCUGCUCCUAGUACGAGAGGACCGGAGUGGACGCAUCACUGGUGUUCGGGUUGUCAUGCCAAUGGCACUGCCCGGUAGCUAAAUGCGGAAGAGAUAAGUGCUGAAAGCAUCUAAGCACGAAACUUGCCCCGAGAUGAGUUCUCCCUGAGACUUAGAGUCUCCUGAAGGAACGUUGAAGACGACGACGUUGAUAGGCCGGGUGUGUAAGCGCAGCGAUGCGUUGAGCUAACCGGUACUAAUGAACCGUGAGGCUUAACCUUACAACGCCGAAG